rnacentral:rRNA from 1 species
AUGACGGAGAUCAAGCUGCCGAAUAUCCAGAAAGUUACAUCAAGUGAUCACUGGAGUUUGGCCAGCAACCAGUAUCCAUCUGGUAAAUUUCCUAAGGUAUCAAUUGGCAUCCCUCCUCCAAGGUCAGAUUCUGUAUCAAGAAGCAGAGAUGUUGCUGCUGCUGCUGCCCCUGCAUUCGAGAGGAACCUGUCUCAGAGAACUGAUGGAAGAUCUAGACCCCCGAAAGCGAAUAAUGCUUCACUCCGGGUCUCACAAGAAGCUGCAAACCAUGGUGGAUCUGCUGCACAGGCACCUGAAGCCACCCAUGUUAGGGUUUCUCUAACACAACCUGAUGACCAUGCACGUGAGCAAACCGGAACCUUUUCCUUUGGAACAAGAAAAGAACAAGGCAGCCAGCUUGACCAACUGCAAAAGGCACCCUUCGUGAAUUCACAAGGAAAGCGCCAAAUGGAAUCUGCAGAUAACACCAAGUCCAACAGCGAAGUGCUCAGGAUGAAGCUGCGGGGGAUCCUUGGUACAUCACAAACCAAACAGGCUGUUGCACCAAACCCUGAAGACAUUGAGACACCGGACCAACCGAAAAGUCUAACAACCAAUGGACCAUCUUCAGGGAUCAAGAAGGUUUACACGUCACGUUUUCCUGAUAUUAUCAAGACACCUGAUCUGCUCAACUGUCAAACAGGUACCUAUGCAAAGAGCAAACCAUCCUCUGAUCCAAUUGAGUCAGAUUCUGAUACUCCACAAGUAGUUGAAAUGAGGCCUGUUACUCGCACCUUGGGUCGCAAGAAAGCACCAGCAGCCUCCAAGAAGCAGGAUAAGAACCAGAGUGCAAAGAAACCAUUGUCUACUUCACGUUCUGCACCCAAACAGAAAACGCAGGACAAUGUCUUUGUUUUUGAUGAGAAAUGCACACCCAAAACCGUGGGGAAAUCUGCAAAUGGUAACUCUGGCUGCUUGAGAAAUCUUAGAAGCUCAAAUAGGAAGGCUAAAGUAGAGCUUAAGAAGGUCCAUUGUUCUGACAAGAUUUCUGACAAGAUCACACAGGAUGCUAGGGAAGGACAGCUAUCUUCUAGAAAUGCAGCAUCAGAGAAUAAGGGAGAGAAAACCACCUCCUUUUCUUCAUUGUCCCGAGCUGGAAAAACUGCUGAGAGCCGUUCUAGAAGCCCUACAAGGGAGAAACGGCUGAAUGGAAUGGCUAAAGUUGGGCUUCAGAAGAUGCAGUUGUCAGAGAAGUUGCUGCCCACGACACUGAAUGUGGGUGAAGAUAAGCUCUCUUCGCAGAAUAUUUCAUCAAAGAGCAAGGAAAAUUAUUCUUCAUUGCUGCACCGGAAGGAGAAUUCUAAUUUGAGCAAAGCUUCAGACAGAAGCCCUCAGGCACAUAAACCAGCGGGAAAUACUUUUAACUUGCCACCAUCUGGCGCUGCUAGUCCAUCACCUGAACCGAAAAUGUAUCCAUGGGGCAACGAGGCAAGUCCCCAGAUAAAUGGUAAACCAUCUGGCACUGCUAGUCCAUCACCUGAACCGAAAAUGUACCCAUGGGACAAUGAGGCAAGUCCCCAGAUAAAUGGCAAACCAUCUGGCGCUGCUAGUCCGUCACCUGAAGCGAAAAAGUACCCAUGGGAGAACGAGGCAAGCCCCCAGAUAAAUGGUAAACUGGGAGAGAAGUUUGCCAGUCCAUUGGCAGACAGAUUCAGAAACAUGGGAGAUGAUUUUGCAAGUCCUACUUUUGCAACUAAUGUAAAUGGCUACCACACUAGAAGUAAAGUGCUACAUGAUGACACAUACAGCCCCAAGUAUCCAAAAAGUGUGAACAGGUCAAGAUCAAGUUCCUUUGCUUCUGAUCCAGGGUCUGAGCCAUCGGACGAGAUGGAUAAAACCUAUGAUUUACCUAAAAGUGAAUCUCCUAAUUCUUCAGAAGAAAGGGAGAACAAAAAACAACCAGAUCUUUCACCCAUUUCGCCAACUGAAGAUGAAAUGGCUCAAACUUCUAUUCCAAGUUUUGGGAAAGGAUAUAAAACUCGCAAAUGGCUUUCAGAUGUAGACAGCCCUGAUAAAUCUCUAGAAAAUCUGGAUAGGAAAUCACAUCUAAAAGAGGGUAAAAGAGGCAAACGGCGCUUACCUUCGCCUGUUCCUUUUGCCACUUCUGGAACACAAGAAACUAUAAUGUCAGACAAAGAACCAGUGCAAUGCCCAGAUGACUACCUAAACAGGGCUUUUGAUGAGUUACUGCUGGUGCUGGGAAGGUUUCAAACCAAGAUCAAGUCCGAAACAAGAAAUAGAAGUUCUGAGAUACUGGUAGGUACUGGAGAGAUAAUUCGCCAGCACCUCGAGGGAGUUGAGGUGCAAAUGCAGGAUGAUGUGGAUAAGCUGGUCAAUGCAGGAAAAUCUAAAAGGAAGCGACUAAACUCAACAUUUGAAGAGCAACAAGAACAGUUACGGGUUCUUCAUGAGAAGUUCAAGGAGGAGGUUAAUCAGCAGUUGCUUGGUUGCAAGAACUCUCUCGAGGAAUUUGAAGCCUAUCAUGCAGAACUUAAGGGAGUAGCUGAGAAGCAAAAAGCAUCACACAAGAAGCUCCUCCAACAAGCCGAGAGCAGAGUUGGUUCUCAGCUCAACGACGCCGAAAUCAAAAUCGCGAAGGUUCAGAAGAGAGCCCGGAAGAAGAUGAAUGGCCUGAAACACGUGCUCAAGGAGCUCAUCACCGACACCGCAGAUUGA